rnacentral:rRNA from 1 species
CCUACGGGAGGCAGCAGUGGGGAAUAUUGCACAAUGGGGGGAACCCUGAUGCAGCGACGCCGCGUGGGUGAGGAAGUACUUCGGUAUGUAAAGCUCUAUCAGCAGGGAAGAAAAUGACGGUACCUCACUAAGAAGCCCCGGCUAACUACGUGCCAGCAGCCGCGGUAAUACGUAGGGGGCAAGCGUUGUCCGGAUUUACUGGGUGUAAAGGGAGCGUAGACGGCGUGCCAAGUCUGGUGUGAAAGGCCAGGGCUCAACCCCGGGACUGCAUUGGAAACUGGCAUGCUGGAGUGCCGGAGGGGCAAGCGGAAUUCCGAGUGUAGCGGUGAAAUGCGUAGAUAUUAGGAGGAACACCGGUGGCGAAGGCGGAUUGCUGGACGGUAUCUGACGUUGAGGCACGAAAGCGUGGGGAGCAAACAGGAUUAGAUACCCUAGUAGUC